CCUACGGGAGGCAGCAGUGAGGAAUAUUGGUCAGUGGGCGCGAGCCUGAACCAGCCAAGUCGCGUGAGGGAAGACGGUCCUAUGGAUUGUAAACCUCUUUUGUCGGGGAGCAAAAGACGCCACGCGUGGCGUUCCGAGAGUACCCGAAGAAAAAGCAUCGGCUAACUCCGUGCCAGCAGCCGCGGUAAUACGGAGGAUGCGAGCUUUAUCCGGAUUUAUUGGGUUUAAAGGGUGCGCAGGCGGAAGAUCAAGUCAGCGGUAAAAUUGAGAGGCUCAACCUCUUCGAGCCGUUGAAACUGGUUGUCUUGAGGGAGUGAGAAGUAUGAGGAAUGCGUGGUGUAGCGGUGAAAUGCAUAGAUAUCACGCAGAACUCCGAUUGCGAAGGCAGCAUACCGGCGCUCAACUGACGCUCAUGAACGAAAGUGUGGGUAUCGAACAGGAGUAGAUACCCCAGUAGUC
rnacentral:rRNA from 1 species